GGUCUCCAACUCAUAGUGAUCCUCCUGCCUUAGUCCACCAAGUGCUGGAGUUCUAGGCAUGAGCCAUUGUGCCUGGUUAAGUACACCAUGUUAUAAAGCAGUUGUUCUCAACUGUCCUAAUGCUUUGGACUUUAAAAACAAUUCCUCAUGUUGUAGUGACACCCAACCACAACCCCCCACCCCAGACAGUGUUUAUUUGUGUGGCCCUGGACGUCCUGGAAUUGCAUUCUGUAGACCAGCUUCAAACUCAAAGAUCUGCUGCCUGCCUCUGCCUCCCAAGUGAUAGGACUAAAGGAUUUAUACAGAAGCAGUCUUCCAAAUUCUGAAACCUGAUGCCCAUCACAUACUUUGGGCUGAGAAAAGAAAAUCAAACAUUUGUUUGAUGUAGCCUCCCUCAGCCUUGAAGCAGGCUGAUCCAGACUUUGACCUUGCUGCCACUAAGAAGGAGAUUACCUAGGGUAGAGCCUUCUGACCUUGAUGGCUCUAUUUGCUCUUCUCCAAGACUCUGCUUUCCCACUGAAAGGUCCUUGAGAUGGUCCACAGACACACCCUGUAGAUCGGCUACUGACUGGUCUUCCCCCUUAUAAGCACACUCUCUUAAUAAACUCGGGGGCCUAGAACAGAAA
rnacentral:lncRNA from 1 species